rnacentral:rRNA from 1 species
GUGCCAGCAGCCGCGGUAGUACGUAGGGUGCGAGCGUUGUCCGGAAUUAUUGGGCGUAAAGAGCUCGUAGGCGGUCUGUCGCGUCGGUCGUGAAAACUUGGGGCUUAACCCUGAGCUUGCGGUCGAUACGGGCAUGACUUGAGUUCGGCAGGGGAGACUGGAAUUCCUGGUGUAGCGGUGAAAUGCGCAGAUAUCAGGAGGAACACCGGUGGCGAAGGCGGGUCUCUGGGCCGAUACUGACGCUGAGGAGCGAAAGCGUGGGGAGCGAACAGGAUUAGAUACCCUGGUAGUCCACGCCGUAAACGGUGGGCGCUAGGUGUGGGGGCCAUUCCACGGUCUCUGUGCCGCAGCUAACGCAUUAAGCGCCCCGCCUGGGGAGCACGGCCGCAAGGCUAAA